AAUAGAUGAUGAACUUAAUGAUGGCUGAGUAGAAACUCUGUACUGAUUGUCAUGCUCUGAUUUA
rfam:Erinaceus europaeus unplaced genomic scaffold scaffold01018, whole genome shotgun sequence